rnacentral:rRNA from 1 species
AUGGGCGUCGGCCUAUACGGUUACCUGGAUCAAAACCAUCGAAGAACCUUCCAAAACAAUCACCACCAAGACCACCGAUGGAAAGGACCAGGUUGUUGUGAACCCUUCAUAUGCCCCCUGGUUAUUCCAGGACCAACAGAUCAUAGCCUAUCUUCUCAGGAAUCUUUCCAAAGAGGUUCUCGUCCAGGUCGCUUAGCUUGA